AGAGCCAGCCAGAAGACUCCCAUUGACUAAUCCUUGACAAACCAUCUUCUGCAUCCAUACAGUUUUCCUGUGGGCCAAUCUUACACUUGUCCCUGGUUUCAUAUAUGAGUACUGACUGGAAGACACAUUUGAGGGCAAUGAUGCUGUCACGAAUGCAUGUGGCGGGCAGCAAGCUCAGAGAACCACAGCAGUGCUACUCAACUUGUCAUCCUGGACACAAAGAUCGUGUGUGAGUGAGCCAAAACCGUGUUUGUUUUUCCACAGAUUAAGAAGAAUCACGGUGUUCCUUCUAGUACAGUACUGACCUGCCUGGAGAGAGGGGGUGGUUUGAUGUAUGUUUUCCCCCUGGACGCAAAUAAUAUGGCAGAUGUAAUUGGUAACAUAUUGUGGACCUAGCAGAAGUGUAAUUUAUAGUUUUAUGGCUUUCAUUCCACGGUGUGCUUGAGCAAUCUCUCUUCGUAGAAAAUGAAAAGGGAAAAAAACGACUGACGCAGAACAAGGAGAGACGUUCUUCUUGCACUCUCCUCUAAAGAUAACACCAAAAGACUGAGGCAUAGCAAAUUAAAGUCAAGGAUGUGAA